rnacentral:misc_RNA from 1 species
CAGCUUCUGAAUUGAGUACUAAAGACACUAGUUCAAGAAAUAAGAUCAAAAGGAAUGCAAGGAACAAGAGGCAACUAUGGACAAUUGUCAUGCUGGGAACAUCUCUUGCAACGCUUACUUUAUGCUUGUUUAUUCAUCUAGCAAGGACAAAACUGAUGAGGAAAGGGGGGGAUUUAUUGCAAUUUAAUUUAGAAAUGACCAUAAAAGAUGAUAAUACGGAGUGCAGUGAAGAAAAUAGUCUUCGAAAUUUUAGUUACAAGGAAGUCAAAUUGCCAUUAUUCAGUUUUAGGAGUGUCGCUGCAGCGACACAGAAUUUUUCAGCUGCCAAUAAGCUUGGGGAGGGUGGAUUUGGUCCUGUUUACAAGGGGAAAUUGUUGAGAGGAGGAGAGGUAGCUGUGAAAAGGCUUUCAAGAAGAUCUGGACAAGGAUGGGAAGAGUUGAAAAACGAGGCACUCCUUAUAGCCAAGCUCCAACACAAGAAUCUUGUUAGACUUUUGGGAUGUUGCAUUGAACGAGAUGAAAAGAUUCUAAUAUACGAGUACAUGCCCAACAAAAGC